rnacentral:rRNA from 1 species
CACUUCACACGAUCUCUGGCUCUCGCAUCGAUGAAGAACGUAGCGAAGUGCGAUAAGUAAUGUGAAUGCAGAAUCCGUGAUCAUCGAAUCUUGAACGCAAUGCACUCUCUUCGAAGAUUGCUGUUGAGGUCAG